rnacentral:tRNA from 1 species
GGCCCCUUGGCGAAAUCGGCAGACGCGGGAGACUUAAAAUCUCCUUCCGCACGGAGUCCCGGUUCGAGCCCGGGAGGGGCCA